UACAGAGGUCUCAAGCGUUGUUCGGAUUCAUUGGGCGUAAAGGGCGCGUAGGCGGCGGGGUAAGUCGGGUGUGAAAUCCCGAGGCUCAACCUCGGGUCUGCAGUCGAUACGAGCAAACUAGAGUGUUGCAGGGGAGACUGGAAUUCCUGGUGUAGCGGUGAAAUGCGCAGAUAUCAGGAGGAACACCGGUGGCGAAGGCAGCUCGCUGGGACGUUACUGACGCUGAGACGCGAAAGCGUGGGGAGCAAACAGG
rnacentral:rRNA from 1 species